rnacentral:lncRNA from 1 species
UGGAUCCCCUAGAGCCCUCCCUAGGACACGGUAAGUUUGAAUUAGCUAGCUAGAAAGAGGCGACCCUGCAUUAAUUUAAGCUCUUCGUUGCUUGACGCCACCCAAAUUUGGCUCAAUUGGACUGCAGGUGAAGAUCACUCUCAAGUCCCCCUCAGUGGAAAUCCUAAACACACCCAAGCCUACAAUUAUCGGAGCACAUACUGGUAGCCACCC